AGUGGAGGCUACCCUUUACUGAGUUGUCCACGGCCAUCACGAAUCAGUCGCUGUGAAAAUUUCAACAAUUCGUGGUCGUGGGAAUCAAUGGCCGGAAAAUCUUCUUAAAAGAGUUUCCAACUAGUUAAGGGCUGAAAUUGUUCUUUUGCAAAUUUCCAUUUUCCUUUCUUUUCCGACAACCCCUGGCUAAGUGACGUGUUCGGAGCGUUCGAAUGUGAAUUGAGUGGCUGAAAUUGCAAUAGUUCAGCGAAUCGUAGUCGAAACGGACAAAGCUUUCUACCAUUUCGAUUUUUCACCAAACCGUUUGCCAACUUACCCCCAGUUCCACUGGAACAUUCUUACGGGAGUGAAUCAAUACCAAAAGUGAAUUUGAAAUCCAGAAAAAACUAUAAAAGGACGACAGCAACCCAAAGGAUCUGAGGAAACAUCGACAUUUUGCGUACUUGAGUAGAAGGGGACCGGAGCCGAGCAGCACAGGGAGCGUGAACGAGACAGGGAGUGCACCUUUUCCCAUAUAAAAAAUGGCCACAGAUCCCACAACAGGUAGUGCGCCAGCAGGCGGCGGAGGCUCAGAUGAAAUUGUAGGAGGACCACGAAAUCCACAACAAAUUGCCGCACAGAAGAGGUUACAACAAACACAAGCUCAAGUGGAUGAGGUUGUGGAUAUUAUGAAAACAAAUGUAGAAAAGGUGCUGGAAAGAGAUCAGAAAUUAUCAGAACUAGACGAUCGAGCCGAUGCCUUACAACAAGGAGCUUCACAAUUUGAACAACAGGCUGGAAAAUUGAAAAGGAAAUUCUGGUUACAAAACUUAAAGAUGAUGAUAAUAAUGGGUGUUAUCGGGUUGGUAAUACUUGCUAUAAUCGUAGCUAACUUCAUGUAGGGUGGCUAAGACAAUAGAAAAACAGAAUGCGCAAUGCAAAAAAUAAUAAAAAAAAUAAAAAUAAAACCAAAUUCUUUCAAAAACAAAUCUCAUCAGUUAUCGUCUAAAUUAAGCCCAUACCAAGCUAAAUUCAUGCCAGCAGAUAAUCCACAACCACAAAUUAUGAUGGCUCCACCACAGCAAGUGGUUCCCCAACAAGCACCCGCAGGCAAUCCAGCCCCAGCAGCUCCAGCCGCAUUUGUCCAAGCUGCUUUCGAU
rnacentral:misc_RNA from 1 species